UAGGGAAUCUUCCACAAUGGGCGAAAGCCUGAUGGAGCAACGCCGCGUGUGUGAUGAAGGGUUUCGGCUCGUAAACACUGUUGUAAGAGAAGAAAGACAUUGAGAGUAACUGUUCAAUGUGUGACGGUAUCUUACCAGAAAGGAACGGCUAAAUACGUGCCGCCAG
rnacentral:rRNA from 1 species